AUCAGGUAGGGACACCCGCUGAACUUAAGCAUAUCAAUAAGCGGAGGAAAAGAAAAUAACAAUGAUUCCCCUAGUAACUGCGAGUGAAGAGGGACAAGCUCAAAUUUAAAAUCUGUUAGGUUUUACCUGACCGAGUUGUAAUUUGAAGAGGCGUUUUCAGCGUUCUUGGUCAGCCCAAGUCCUAUUGAAUGAGGCAUCAUGGAGGGUGAUAAUCCCGUCCGGUUGAUCAUAGCGUCUUACGAUACGUCUUCCAAGAGUCAAGUUGUUUGGGAUUGCAGCUUAAAAUGGGAGGUAAAUUUCUCCUAAGGCUAAAUAACGGCGAGAGACCGAUAGCGAACAAGUACCGUGAGGGAAAGAUGAAAAGAACUUUGAAAAGAGAGUCAAACAGUACGUGAAAUUGUUGAAAGGGAAACGAUUGAAGCCAGUCGUACCGGCGGAUAAUCAACCUUUCGGGUGCGAUUCUGUGGAGCGUGAUGAGCUUGAUCGUCUUCACGUCUGCGUAUUCGUGCACUUUGGGUGUACUUGUCCGUGUGGUGAGUUAACAUCAAUUUCGGUCGUCAUAAAAUGAUUGGAGGAAUGUAGCUUCGAUCUCGUAUCGUAGUGUUAUAGACUCUGGUAGAUGUGACGAUUGGGAUUGAGGAUUGCAACGGAUACCCUUCGGGGCUACCCGUCUGAUCUCUGAAGGUUGCUCCGGUGCCGAAAGCGUGCUUACGGUCAUCGAAAGUGAUGGUCAAAAGGUUAGAACGGGUUAAAUUCGUUAAGGAUGUUGACGUAAUGGCUUUAAACGACCCGUCUUGAAACACGGACCAAGGAGUCUAACAUAUAUGCGAGUGUU
rnacentral:rRNA from 1 species